GAUGAACGCUAGCGGCGUGCCUAACACAUGCAAGUCGAACGUGAGAAAGACUUCGGUCUUUUGAAAGUGGCGGACGGGUGAGUAAGACGUAGGUGACCUGCCUUGAAGUGGGGGAUAACCAUUGGAAACGAUGGCUAAUACCGCAUAGGCUGGUGACGAUGGGAAUCGUUAUCAGGAAAGCUUUAGUGCUUUGAGAGGGGCCUACGGCCGAUUAGCUAGUUGGUGAGGUAAAGGCUCACCAAGGCGAUGAUCGGUAGCUGGUCUGAGAGGACGAUCAGCCACACGGGAACUGAGACACGGUCCCGACUCCUACGGGGGGCAGCAGUGAGGAAUAUUCGGCAAUGGGGGGAACCCUGACCGAGCAACGCCGCGUGGAGGAUGAAGGCUUUAGGGUUGUAAACUCCUUUUGUGGGGAAAGAUGGAUGGUACCCCAAGAAUAAGUCACGGCUAACUACGUGCCAGCAGCCGCGGUAAGGUCGUCAUGU
rnacentral:rRNA from 1 species